rnacentral:rRNA from 1 species
CCUACGGGUGGCAGCAGUCGGGAAUAUUGCGCAAUGGAGGAAACUCUGACGCAGUGACGCCGCGUGCAGGAAGAAGGUUUUCGGAUUGUAAACUGCUUUAGACAGGGAAGAAACAAGACAGUACCUGUAAAAUAAGCGUCGGCUAACUACGCGCCAGCAGCCGCGGUAAGACGGAGGGAGCAAGCGUUAUCCGGAUUUAUUGGGUGUAAAGGGUGCGUAGACGGGAAGUCCAGUUGGUUGUGAAAUCCCUGGGCUUAACUGAGGAACUGCACCCAAAACUAACUUUCUUGAGUGCUGGAGAGGGAAGUAGAAUGCCUGGUGUAGCGGUGAAAUGCGUAGAUAUGAGGAGGAACACCAGUGGCGAAGGCGACUUUCUGGACAGUAACUGACGUUGAGGCACGAAAGUGUGGGGAGCAAACAGGAUUAGAUACCCGAGUAGUC